GAUGAACGCUGGCGGCGUGCUUAAUACAUGCAAGUCGAACGGAUGAGUAGUAAUACUUAUUAGUGGCGAACGGGUGAGUAACGCGUAGGUGACCUGCCCCGAAGACUGGGAUAACAGUUCGAAAGGACUGCUAAUACCGCGUAAGCUCCUAGUCGUUAGAGAGUUAGGAGUGAAGGCGAAAGUCGCUUCGGGAGGAGCCUGUGACCCAUCAGCUAGUUGGUAAGGUAAUGGCUUACCAAGGCGAAGACGGGUAGGAGGCCUGAGAGGGUGGCCUCCCACAAUGGAACUGAAACACGGUCCAUACACCUACGGGUGGCAG
rnacentral:rRNA from 1 species